rnacentral:misc_RNA from 1 species
AUGAUGAUCUCCAGUCAAACCCAGGAAAUCCCUAGUCAGAUUGUCCCGUUUCUGCCAAUUGCCUGGUAUGUUUUCAGAUCCGAAACUGAGAAAACCAUUGGGUGUCACGUGAGUGAGAGUGCCUCUGUUUAGAUGAGCCAUGGUUGAGUUCACGUGAUUCACAGUGGAGUUUGUUCCCAUAGUAGUUGCUCUCUGGAGCAAUGCGGUGGCGGCAAGCUGAGGGGAUGGGAUGGAGAAAG